AGAACAAGAGAACAAAUAAUAAAAAAUAACUGUUUGAUUAUCACUAUAAAAUCCAACAAAACCCAUGUUCUUCUAGAGAGAGAGAAAAAAAAACACGAAUUCAAUGAACGAAUAACUGAAUUUCACUCAUCGUAGGCUGUAAAACAUCUCCACAACUGAAAAAAAGAUCGAUAAAAUUCUUAGCUUUCAACAUAUUCAAUUGCGUUCUUGAUAAAAAUGGGAGAUCAUUUUGUGUUUCUGGUGGAUCGGUUACUGACUGAGUCUACUUUAGAGGCUGCAAUCGAAAGCCGAAAACCGGUUGAUGAAACAGUGAUUGAGUGUUGUUCGAAGGUUAUGGAUCAUGAAGGUGUUUAUGGGUCUGAAAAGUUGUUUGAGUGUAGGAUAUGUCAGGAUGAAGAUUUUGAUUCCAAUAUGGAGACUCCUUGUUCUUGUUCUGGUAGCUUAAAGGUUGGUUUAUGUUUAUAUUCUGCUUUAACUGCUUAAGGCUACACGAUGUGGAGGAGGCAAGUCCUUGGAGGAUGCCCCUCCACGUCAGCGCCACUGUCAACAUCCAAUCCAAGGAGGAUGCCCCUCCAAGGAUGGACCAAGGGAAAUGGAGGAUGGGCCUCUCUCUCUCUAUAUAUAUAUUUGUGUGUUUGUGUUGUAUGUAUUUGUGUGUUUGUGUGAGAAGGGGAGGCCCAGCAACAACGUCUUGUGGAGGACGUUCAAGACGGCGACGCAGCUGUGGAAAUGGUGUACAGGGGCGGCGUCGGGGCUCGACUGGCCUAGGACGGCCCCCACACCGACUGGCCUAAUGGUUUAUCUAGAAACAUGAAUGAAAGUUAAAAAAAUUAUAUGUUGAAUUUGGAACCUUGAUUCCUCAUAGUUUGGAAGCUGUUCAGUUCACGCCAAAUUUCAAAUUUUAUGCUCACCGUAGAUGUGUCCAACGAUGGUGUAAUGAGAAGGGUGAUAUAAAAUGUGAAAUAUGUCAUCAGCAAUUUAGGCCAGGGUAUACAGCACCACCCCCUGUGUUCAAAUUAGGAGACAUUCCAGCAAGUUUUAGGGGACAUUGGCAGAUUUCCCGGAGGGAUAUGAACAACAAUGGCCGAAUAAUAACGGUCGUCCCUUCUGAUCCUAAUUUUCUUGAUCAAGAAUACGACGCGUACGCAGAGUCCACCGCUAGAAGCAUUUUGUGUUUCCGUUCCGUUGCUUUCAUCUUUAUGAUUCUCUUGAUCUUGCGUCACACGCUCCCCGUGCUUGCUAAUGGAGCGGGAAAUUACUCUUUACCGGUGUUUUUGUUAUUAUUGAUAAGAGCUUCAGGAAUCAUCGUACCGAUCUACAUCAUCUUAAGAGCCUUCACAGCUUUACUACAUCGGCGACACCACCUGGCUUCUAAUUCAUCAACGUCGUCUUUGUCGUCUUCUGAUGAGGAAGCUGGUCCGAUACCUUUGUAGCUACACCUGCGCACGAAUCAUUUUAAUUACUUGUGUUUGGCUUGAGGGUGGUGCUGAGGUUAGAACAUGUGCAGCUCUUUAAUAUCUGAGUUGUUAAGUAUGCACCCAUCAAGGUUAGAUUUGUUUUAUUUAAUGGUUUUCUGAAAUCUUCAUGUACAGUUUGUUUAUUUGGCUUUCUAUAUAUGUAAAUGUUACAUCUACAAUGGAACUUUAAAAGCUUGAAGUAAACAUGUUUAUCUCUUAUGCGAUUCCGACGAUGGGUUGAGACAGGUA